rnacentral:tRNA from 1 species
CGGUGUUGACGAACGUGGUGCGCGUGCCGGAGUUGGCGGCGAGCGACUCGAAGGCCGAGUCGUUGCCGUCGUUCCAGCCGCCGAUCGCCAGC